GAGAAGAUCUGGACAGGACUCAACCUCCUGUGCAUCUUCUUUGGCUUUGCGGUGGGGACGCUCAUCUACACACCCAUCCUUGGCUUCCUGCUGUGCCAGUGCAGAAGGAACAGAACAGGAAAGCUGACGAGCAGGGAAGUGGCAGAGGUGGAUCAGCCUAGCACGGAAGCCCCAGUGACAGGGACUGAGGACCUGACCUAUGCCAACCUGAAUUUUGAAAAGAAGGAGACCAACCGUGCCUCCUCCAACAUCAUUUACACCGAGAUCAAGCCACCGCAGCAGAAGCAGAGUGGUGGGGAUGCCGGUGCAGCCAGCACAGCGGUGGAUGUCACCCCCAGCAGAAAGGGCAAAUGAGGGAGAAGGGAGGGGGAGCAGCUUGUACAUCUGUUGGGGUUGUUCUCCCCAAAAAUUAGGUGUUAGCUCAUA